rnacentral:rRNA from 1 species
CUUGGUGGUUAUGGCGAGGCGCCCAGAACCCGAUCCCAUUCCGAACUCGAGCGUUAAAUGCCUCAGCGCCGAUGGUACUGUGUCUUAAGGCACGGGAGAGUAGGUCGCUGCCAAGU